UUUGGCCUUCGAGGAAAUGAGCGAGGUGGUCAUCAAAUCGUGACCCUUAAGACCAGGACGAAUUCUUUUUUUCUGGUAUCUACCUCUAUCUUUACUCCCAAACUCCAGGAAAUCAAGAGGAAACAAGGUCAGAGUCAGCCCUGGGGCCAAGUCUGCCGCAAGCAGCUGAUGCUGGUUGAUCCUUCCCUGAAGGAGCUCCCACCAGCCUCUACACAGUGUUGCCUGUAACCAAACACUGGCAUUAGAGUUAGGGCCACGGGAUGGCUUGUAACCUUCUUAGGAUCUCAAAGCUAACACCAUUUGGCGUAGCAAUAAAAUCCUGAGGUCGGGCCUGGGGAGAAGCCCAUUGGCCUGGUACUUGAUCUCUGCUUAAGUGUUCCUUGUCCCUGUAUAGAGUCAUUUCUCAGAGCUGAGCAACACGGGACUGCCAAGCACCAGGGCCAUCAGAGGGCCCAAAUGAACGAUCCAAGUAAAACAGAGAACUCGCCAUGUCGGCACUGACAUUCCUGAGUUAGGAGAGAGUACAGCAGCUUUUCUCAGUUUUGGCUGAAAUAUGGGAAUUACCUGGGCAGCUUAAAAAAUAUCAAGGCCCAGGUCCCACCCCCAGAGAUUCUGACUAAAUUGGUUUUGAGUUGGGCCAGGUGACUCUAAUAUGCAGCCGUCGGCACUGAGAGCCACGUUAACACCUGGCUGGCCAACUGGCGUCUCUGUCGGGAUUGAAGCCCAUCCGCACGGCUUCUGGUGCACGCUCUGUCUUUGACGUCUGUUGUGUUGGUCCGAGGAGAAAGGACAGAGGAGAAUGCUGCUCUUGUUCUACACCUGCAGGAGGGAUGGGGACAAACUGGAGGCAUUCAGAGGAUCUCUCCCUUCCUCUAAACUCUGCACUGGCCAUCGGAGGCUGCCUCGACUUGGACCUUCUUGGACAGAAAUCUACAUCCUCACGAAACGCCGUGCCAUCCUGAAAGGCAAGAUGGGUGAAUUCUCCAUCCCGAUGAUGCAAAGUCAGUUUCCUCAGAAUAUCUGGUGCAGCUGGACCAUCCGGGCUGGCCCCCAAAGCCAUGCUGUUGUCUAUGUCAGUGUGUUUAAGGUCACAGGAAAUGAUGACUGUGGGCCAAACCCUGACAAGAUUGUGUUCCAGGGGGUCUCCCCUGUGGCAGAAAGCAGUAUGGUCCAUGCCUAUUGAAAGAAAAGGGUGCAUGUUUAUGCCACCCAAGCUCUGGCUGUGCACGUGGUCCUGCUAUCUCAGAACUAUGCUCGAGGUGGGAGAUACAGGCCUUUCAGGGGGAAGUGUUAUGUCUUCCGAGAUCCCAGAGCAGAUUCAGGAGAAAAGAUCAUGAAGCCCCAGGUUACACAGGCUCCCAUCUAAUUUCAAAGACCUUUCUCCAAACCCACUGCUAGCACCACUGGGCCAAAGACUCAAGCAGAGAAGAAACCUGGGGUCUCUGGAACGUCUAUGCCCCAUCUGGUUCAGCCAGGCUUCCUCGUGUUCCUCACCAAGCCUGCAGCAGAUGGCAUCCUGGCCACUAAAUCUGGAAAUAAGUGGGAAGGAUCUUUGAAAAAUAGCCUCUUCUCCAGCCCCAGGGGAACAGCAGUCUCUGAUCCCAGGUGGCCAGAGAUCCCAGAAGAAAGUAUCUUUGCCGGGCCCUCAGCCAGUGGAGAAGCCCCUUCCAGCGCCGUGAUUCCUGUAACAAGCUCUGUGGCAGCCGCUCACCGGCAGCUUGGUCCUCGCCUGUAGAAUGGGGAAGGCUGGAGGGCACUUCAGAGGAUGUGCCAGCCACGAGGCCCACCCCUGUGGACUCGCUGAGAUCAGCCCGCCGCUCAGAUUUGGGAUUAUGGGAAAGGACUGCACCCCAGGAAGGGGAGCUGCUUUCUCCCAGUCCUUCUCAGGUGGUGGAGAGCAUUCCUGGAGGAGGCCAGCAAACGCCCGUGCAGACAAGAGUCUUGCCUGGUGGAACACGAUGCUGCUAUGGGAUGAAGGGCAGGCCUGGCCACUGAGGCCCAGCUGUCCCUGGAGGGCAGGCCGUAUCCUUUCCCUGUCAUCACACAGCUUUCUCACAUCUCCAAGUCCUUUUUCCUUGUGUCCCAGGCUGAGAGCUCUCUUUGGGGAAUUCUUGCUGCUCCUGCGGACACCCUAACUUCUGCAUCAGGGUUUGCUUGGCUAAGCGCUGGGCUCACCUCCAGUGAGGCAGGGGUCACCUUGGUGGCUGCACCUCUGGGUGGUGAAGUGUUGUCACCACCUACUCUCUCCAUGGCCUUCAAGUGGCUCCCUCCGAGGCAGAGUCAUAGCUUGUCCCUUGGAUGGGCUUGUCCUCACCACUUCCAGAGCCAGGACAGACAGCCCGCCCCGGAGUGUGACCUCUGAGUGCGUCUCCUCGUGGUAUCAUGGGCAUCUUCCAGAAAGAGACCCAAUAUACACUUCCUGGAGUCCAGAGGGGCUGGCCACAGAGCCACUGGAGGGCCCGGCCAGAGUGAUGCUGACAACGGCCUCCCGCUGAGUUCCUCCGCCACCGCUGCCCCUGAGUACGCUCCCCAGCCCUCACUGGUAUUCCCGCCCUUGCCUACCACAGAGGUCCUGGGAUACCGGAGGGGGCCACAGGGACGUCUACACCAGCUUCAUGGCUGGUGUCAGGUUUACAGUUGCCUUCGGAUGCCCUGUCUGAGACUGGAGGGCAGGUCUCAGACAGCGAUACCUCCCUCUCAGCCCCCUAAGUCCAGCCAUGCCCCAGGGCUUGUCCAGUCAAGGAAAGAGCACAGUGGCUGCUGGCCUCUCUGCUGUGUUCCCUGGGAGCUGCAAUUCAAGCUUUCUGUGAUUAACGCUUUCCUUCUGCAGAGCUCACUGGUUUUUCCAGUUCCCUCUCCAAGUCUGGCCUGAGCAGAGAUGGCAUCUAGAAGUUUAGUGAGUGCUUCCCUGGCCUGAGCCCAAGGAAGCAGUUCCUACUGGGGCAAUGGCUUAUCCUCACUAUUUGAGGAGUGGGAACUUGCUUCCAACUACAUCCUAGAAGAGAGAGCACAGAAGUAACAGGACUGCUUAAAGGAAGAACACUAGAUGGUGCUCUGCGUCCUUUUGCUUCUGAGUUAAUUUCCUGGUUUUGUUGCAUGGCAAACUGCCCCAAAACUUAGUGGCUUAAAGAAACAGCCAUUGUUUCAUCUCUCUUUUGUGGGUCAGAAAUUUAGGCAGGUCUCAGCAGAGUGAUUCUCCCAUUCCACGUGGGAUUGACUGGAGUCUCUUGCUGGUAUUUAGCUGAAACUUGGGCUGGUCUGGAGGGUCCAGGAUGGCUUUGCUCAUAGGCGUUCAUAAUACGAAUGUUGGUGGGGACAGCUGGAAGGCUGGGCACUGUGUGUCCCUCUUUAUAUAGUUUUGAGAACUCUUUAGUCACAUUUCUACAAGGUGGCUGGAUUUCCCUGGAACAACUUUCCAAGAAACCAAGAUAGAAGUAUGUAUGGUCUUGACGUUGCCUCGGGUGUCAUGCAGUGUGACUUCUGCUGUGGCCUGUGGAUCAAGCCAGUUGCUGAAGCCAGUGCAGACUCAAGGGGAGAAGAGCAAGACUCUCCCUUUCAGUGGGUGGAGUAGCAGAGUUUUUAUGGCCACCUUUAAUUACUACUUUGUGCAUCUUGGACUUGUGGAUGCAUGUUUUUUAUCCGUUUGAGAAAACUUGCAGGCAUUUCUUCCUCAGGUAUUUCGUUGACUCAAUUUUCCACUCAUUUCUUCUGGGACUCCAAUUAUAGAGCUAAGACUUUCUUAUUCAAUCCUCCAAAUCUCUUAACUUCUCUCAUAGUUUCAUCUCAUUGUCUCUGUGCUGCAUUCAUGGGGGAUUUAUUUGGUUCAUGAAGGCUUUUUCUUCUUCUGACAUUUAUUAUAAAUAUUCAAACAUAUGACCAGGUUAAAAGACCUUUACAAUAAAUGUCCAUAUACCUACUACCUAUAUUCUACCCUUGACAUUUUAUUCAGUUUAUCAUAUCUGUCUAUCCACCUGUUCAUCUUAUUUUUUGAUAUCUGCAAUUUACUUGAAAUGUAUCAGUAGCCAUGGAGUUUUAUUUCCAUUCAUCAUUUCUAGACGUUCCCUUAUUUUCUAAUCUGCCCAUUUAUUCCUAAUAGUGUCUUUUUGCUUUGAUUAUGUUAUUUCUUUUACCAUUUUCCCGCACAACAAUGCUUAUCUGACAAUUCCAGCAAUUCUUAGGGUGUCAAUUGGCUUUUGUUGUCUUUUGCUAAAAGUACUUGAUCUUAAUCUAUGUUGCAUUAUCUAAUAUGGUAACUGCUAGCCACGUGUGGCUACCUAAAUUAAAGUUAA